UCGCAUUCGGAGGUUCGAUCCUUCCGUCCCAG
rnacentral:tRNA from 1 species